GUCCCUGUAGUACAAUGGAUAGUGCGUUGAACUUCUAAUCCAAAGGUCGUGGGUUCGAAUCCCACCUGGGAUG
rnacentral:tRNA from 1 species